rnacentral:rRNA from 1 species
GCAGAUGUUCAUGCUACCCUGAGCGUGUCUGACCCCAUCUGCUCUCAGAAGCUAAGCAGGGCUGGGCCUGGCUAGUACUUGUAUGGGAGACAAGUGUUCUUGUUAACAUGGAUG